rnacentral:rRNA from 1 species
GGGGAAUAUUGGGCAAUGGGCGCAAGCCUGACCCAGCAACGCCGCGUGAAGGAAGAAGGCUUUCGGGUUGUAAACUUCUUUUAUUAGGGACGAUAAUGACGGUACCUAUUGAAUAAGCUCCGGCUAACUACGUGCCAGCAGCCGCGGUAAUACGUAGGUGGCAAGCGUUGUCCGGAAUUACUGGGUGUAAAGGGAGCGUAGGCGGGAUGCCAAGUCAGCUGUGAAAACUAUGGGCUUAACUUGUAGACUGCAGUUGAAACUGGUAUUCUUGAGUGAAGUAGAGGUUGGCGGAAUUCCGAGUGUAGCGGUGAAAUGCGUAGAUAUUCGGAGGAACACCGGUGGCGAAGGCGGCCAACUGGGCUUUAACUGACGCUGAGGCUCGAAAGUGUGGGGAGCAAACAGGAUUAGAUACCCUGGUAGUCCACACUGUAAACGAUGAUAACUAGGUGUGGGGGGUCUGACCCCUUCCGUGCCGCAGCUAACGCAAUAAGUUAUCCACCUGGGGAGUACGACCGCAAGGUUGAAACUCAAAGGAAUUGACGGGGACCCGCACAAGCAGUGGAUUAUGUGGUUUAAUUCGACGCAACGCGAAGAACCUUACCAAGUCUUGACAUCCUGCGACGGUGCUGGAAACAGUAUUUUCCUUCGGGACGCAGAGACAGGUGGUGCAUGGUUGUCGUCAGCUCGUGUCGUGAGAUGUUGGGUUAAGUCCCGCAACGAGCGCAACCCUUAUGGUCAGUUACUACGCAAGAGGACUCUGGCCAGACUGCCGUUGACAAAACGGAGGAAGGUGGGGAUGACGUCAAAUCAUCAUGCCCUUUAUGACUUGGGCUACACACGUACUACAAUGGCGUUAAACAAAGAGAAGCAAGACCGCGAGGUGGAGCAAAACUCAGAAACAACGUCCCAGUUCGGACUGCAGGCUGCAACUCGCCUGCACGAAGUCGGAAUUGCUAGUAAUCGUGGAUCAGCAUGCCACGGUGAAUACGUUCCCG